UACGGGGGGAGCAAGCGUUGUUCGGAUUUACUGGGCGUAAAGGGCGCGUAGGCGGUCAGCACAAGUCAGUUGUGAAAUCUCCGGGCUUAACUCGGAAAGGUCAACUGAUACUGUGCGACUAGAGUGCAGAAGGGGCAACUGGAAUUCUCGGUGUAGCGGUGAAAUGCGUAGAUAUCGAGAGGAACACCUGUGGCGAAGGCGACUUUCUGGGCCUUACCUGACGCUGAGACGCGAAAGCGUGGGGAGCGAACCGG
rnacentral:rRNA from 1 species